GCAGUCGAUCGGUAACGCGGGGGCACCCUGGCGACGAGAGGCGGACGNNNGAGGAACGCUUGGGAAUCUGCCUAUCAGCGGGGGACAACCCGGGGAAACUCGGGCUAAUACCGCAUACGCUCUACGGAGGAAAGCCGGGGACCGCAAGGCCUGGCACUGAUAGAUGAGCCCAAGUCGGAUUAGCUAGUUGGCGGGGUAACGGCCCACCAAGGCGACGAUCCGUAGCUGGUCUGAGAGGACGAUCAGCCACACUGGGACUGAGACACGGCCCAGACUCCUACGGGAGGCAGCAGUGGGGAAUAUUGGACAAUGGGGGAAACCCUGAUCCAGCGACGCCGCGUGGGUGAAGAAGGCCUGCGGGUUGUAAAGCCCUUUCGGUAGGGACGAAAGCUCUCGACCUAACACGUCGGGAGGUUGACUUAACCUACAAAAGAAGCACCGGCUAACUCUGUGCCAGCAGCCGCGGUAAUACAGAGGGUGCGAGCGUUAAUCGGAAUUACUGGGCGUAAAGCGCACGUAGGCGGCUUGGUAUGUCGGGUGUGAAAUCCCCGGGCUCAACCUGGGAACUGCAUCCGAAACUGCCUUGCUCGAGUAUGGGAGAGGGAAGCGGAAUUUCCGGUGUAGCGGUGAAAUGCGUAGAUAUCGGAAGGAACAUCAGUGGCGAAGGCGGCUUCCUGGACCAAUACUGACGCUCAGGUGCGAAAGCGUAGGGAGCAAACAGGAUUAGAUACCCUGGUAGUCCACGCCCUAAACGAUGACAACUGGAUGUCG
rnacentral:rRNA from 1 species